rnacentral:sRNA from 1 species
UCCCCACAGGUCCACCCCAACUCCGUGCACAUAUGUGCAGUGGUUGUGGAGUACGAGACCAAGGCCGGCCGCAUCAACAAGGGUGUGGCCACCAACUGGCUGCGGGCCAAGGAGCCUGCUGGGGAGAACGGCGGCCGUGCGCUGGUGCCCAUGUUCGUGCGCAAGUCCCAGUUCCGCCUGCCCUUCAAGGCCACUACGCCUGUCAUCAUGGUGGGCCCCGGCACCGGGGUGGCACCCUUCAUAGGCUUCAUCCAGGAGCGGGCCUGGCUGAGACAGCAGGGUGAGUGGGGUCCCGCGAGGGAGAGGGGGUGACGACUGGGAGUCCCACGCUCACCCCGGCCCCUGCCACGCAGGCAAGGAGGUGGGGGAGACGCUGCUGUACUACGGCUGCCGCCGCUCAGAUGAGGACUACCUGUACCGGGAGGAGCUGGCGCAGUUCCACAGGGACGGUGCGCUCACCCAGCUCAACGUGGCCUUCUCCCGGGAGCAGUCCCACAAGGUCUACGUCCAGCACCUGUUAAAGCGAGACCGAGAGCACCUGUGGAAGUUGAUCGAAGGCGGCGCCCACAUCUACGUCUGUGGGGAUGCACGGAACAUGGCCAGGGAUGUGCAGAACACCUUCUACGACAUCGUGGCUGAGCUCGGGGCCAUGGAGCACGCGCAGGCAGUGGACUACAUCAAGAAACUGAUGACCAAGGGCCGCUACUCCCUGGACGUGUGGAGCUAGGGGCCUGCCUGCCCCCACCCCACCCCACCCCACAGACUCCGGCCUGUAAUCAACUCUCCUGGCUCCCUCCCGCAGUCUCCUGGGCGUGUUUGGCUUGGCCUUGGCAUGGGCGCAGGCCCAGUGACAAAGACUCCUCCGGGCCUGGGGUGCACCCUCCUCAGCCCCCCCAGGCCAGGUGAGGUCCACCGGCCCCAGGCAGCACAGCACAGGGGUGCCAGGCUCCACGCCUCUGGAGGCCUCUAGCUCUCGGUGGCUGCACAGAAGGGCUCUUUCUCUCUGCUGAGCUGGGGCCAGCCCCUCCAUGUGAUUUCCAAUGAGUGUAAAUAAUUUUAAAUAACCUCUGGCCCUUGGAAUAAAGUUCUGUUUUCUGUA